GAUGAACGCUGGCGGCGUGUCUUAGGCAUGCAAGUCGAACGAAACAAUUUGAGAUUAUAUCAAGGAUUGUUUAGUGGCAGACGGGUGCGUAUGACAGUGGUAACCUACCUCUAACAUGAGUACAACUCCGCGAAAGCGGAGCUAAUCCUCAAUAAGAACGCGGGGUCAUAUGACAUUCGCGUUUAAAGGUGCAUAGCAAUAUGCAUCGGUUAGAGAAGGGCCUUUGGUCUAUCAGCUAGUUGGUGAGGUAAAAGCUCACCAAGGCGAUGACGGAUAGGGGGUGUGAGAGCAUGGCCCCCCUCACUGGGACUGAGACACUGCCCAGACACCUACGGGUGGCUGCAGUCAAGAAUAUUCCCCAAUGGCCGAAAGGCUGAGGGAGCGACGCCGCGUGGUUGAAGAAGUCCUUCGGGAUGUAAAAACCUUUUGUUAGGGAAAAACACUGAUUGUACCUAGCGAAUAAGAGGUGGCUAACUCUGUGCCAGCAGCAGCGGUAAUACAGAGACCUCAAGCGUUAUCCGGAUUUACUGGGUGUAAAGAGUUAAUAGGCGGUUUUUUAAGUCUAGGGUUAAAGGCUAUGGCUCAACCAUAGAAAUGCCCUAGAAACUAAAAAGCUAGAGACUGGAAGAGGCAAGCGGAAUUGUCGGGGUAGCAGUAAAAUGCGUUAAUCUCGACAAGAACACCAAUAGCGAAGGCAGCUUGCUAGAACAGUUCUGACGCUGCAAUAACGAAAGCGUGGGGAGCGAAAGGGAUUAGAUACCCCUGUAGUCCACGCCCUAAACGAUGAAUGCUAGGUAUUUCUCGCCUUCGGGUGAGAAGUAUCGUAAGUUAACGCGUUAAGCAUUCCACCUGGGUAGUACGAUCGCAAGAUUAAAACUCAAAGGAAUAGACGGGGACCCGCACAAGUGGUGGAGCAUGUGGUUCAAUUCGACAGUAACCGAGGAACCUCACCAGGACUUGACAUCUGGGAAAUCCUGCCGAAAGGUGGGAGUGCCCGCAAGGGAAUCCCAAGACAGGUGCUGCAUGGUUGUCGUCAGCUCGUGCCGUGAGGUGUACCGUUAAGUCGGGUAACGAGCGCAACCCUUACCCUGAGUUACAUAGUGUCUCAGGGAACUGCCCGCGAUAAGCGGGAGGAAGGCGAGGAUGACGUCAAAUCAGCAUGGUCCUUAUGUCCUGGGCUACACACGUGCUACAAUGGGAAAUAACAAUGGGCAGCCAAGCCGUAAGGCAGAGCAAAUCCCAUCAAACUUUCCCUCAGUUCAGAUUGAGGUCUGCAACUCGACCUCAUGAAGCCGGAAUCACUAGUAAACGCGUAUCAGAAUGGCGCGUUGAAUACGUUCUCGGGUCUUGUACUCACCGCCCGUCAAUCCAAGGAAGUUGGAGGCGCCUGAAGC
rnacentral:rRNA from 1 species